rnacentral:rRNA from 1 species
CCUAGCCCUAAACACAGAUAGUACAAACACAACACUAUCCGCCAGAGAACUACAAGCGAAAAGCUUAAAACUCCAAGGACUUGGCGGUGCUUCAAACCAACCUAGAGGAGCCUGUCCUAUGAUCGAUACUCCACGUUUUACCUCACCACCCCUUGAUAUUCAGCCUAUAUACCGCCGUCGUCAGCCUACCUUGUGAAAGAAACAAAGUGAGCAAAACAGUUAACAACUAAUACGUCAGGUCAAGGUGUAGCACACGGGGCGGCAGAGAUGGGCUACAUUUUUCCAAAGGAAAAAACACGAACAACAUGUUGAAAUACAUGCUCGAAGGUGGAUUUAGUAGUAAAAUAAAAAAGAAAGCUUGUUUUAAGCCUGCUCUGAAGCGCGCACACACCGCCCGUCA